GGGGAUGUGGCGCAGUGGUAGCGCGUCCGCUUUGCAUCUGCAUGGUUGCGGAAGGUCUAGGGUUCAAUCCCCUACAUCUCCA